GAGUCUCACUCUGUCGCCCAGGCUAGAGUGCAGUGGCAUGAUCUCAGCUCACUGCAACCUCUGCCUCCCAGGUUAAAGCAAUUCUCCUGCCUCAGCCUCCCAAGUAGCUGGGACUACAGGCACGUGCCACCACACCCGGCUAAAUUUUUUAUUUUUUAGUAGAGACAGGGUUUCACCGUGUUAGCCAGCAUGAUCUCAAUCUCCUGACCUCGUGAUCCACCCGCCUCGGCAAAUUCUGUAUUUUUAAUCGUAUAAUAUCUCAUCCUGGAAUGCCUGAGAUGGUCGCUGGAUUUAGUUUAACUCCCUUUCUUUCUGAGCCAUAUCAUUCUGUUCCAAAGAAUUCAACCCAAGUUCAAUACUAGCAUUCUGCAAGUAACCCAAAAUGUGGAGUAAGAUAUGAUAUAUUAUAUUAUUUUAUAUUAUGUAUGUCAUAUCACAUCACAUUAUGUCAUAUCAUAUCAUAUUAUUAUUCUUUUCAAUGUCAUGAUUUUAAUACUGUCUUAAAAUAAAUAAGGAUGCGGAUUUAACUGGUUGCAUAUUUUUAGAUCUCAACAGUUUUAUACUGUAAGGUAUUAUGUCAGGUAAUGAAGUGCCUGAGAUUGCUGCUAUAGGUGCUUUAUAUUGGAGUUACUACUUUCUGAAUUUAAAAAUGAGAGAACAUUAUGACUUCAUUAGAAGAAAAUAGCAUUAUUUCUUAAUUAUUGAUAGAUUUUUCUUUAUUUCCAGUUUUGUUCAAUUAUGUUUCAGUUAAUCUCAUUAUACAUAGAGAUGUUUGCCUCCUUCAAUUGCAUUUAGACUUACAGAAUUACAAUAAUACAAGUUCUUAACAUUCAUAGAAAAUAUGCCAAGUUUUCUAAACCUUUUCUUAUACAUACACCCACAUCUUUCUUAUUUGAGUCUUUGUGCAUAAACUACAAUAACAGACUGUAUGUUCACGUCUCUCCCUAGUUCAAAAGAAAACAUCAGGCACAGAAGGCAGCAUAUGACUGAGUCCUUCUGGCUCUUACAGGCUUCAAAUACACUUUUACAAGUGCCCUCCAUAAUAAAUGUGAACUUCAAGCUUCAUACAGGUAUUGAUUUAACCUGCAGAGACAUAUCAAAGUAAAUAUAAUUUAACAAUUGACCAACAUGUUAUCCUCUUUUCCAAGCGGGUGUGUUUUUUGUUAAUGUCAAUGUUUUUGCAGAAUUGUUUUUCAGAAAACAAUGUUUUUCUCUGUUCUCUGAAGCAAAGAAAAAAUAAAAAUUUUAUAAAUUUUUUAAUCCAAAAAAUGUCAUUCCAAUCAGUCAAUGCCCAACUCUUAUGUUCUUAUAUUCAUGAACCAGCUGUCUUUAUUUCAUCAAUUACAAUUUAUAUCUGGCUUUGGUGAUUGUUAAUCCAUGCUGUCAUAAUCAAGGCCACUGUAGACAGAGGAACUUAUACUAUCACUAAGAGCUUUGGGAUUUUAAUUUUUUUCUUUUAUUUGUUAUGAAAUGACACAUAUAGGGCAUUUUGAUUCUACAAAAACAUCUUGUAGAUAAAUGCUUAUUGCUACUCAGACAUUAUCAGCAUUUAACAGAAAUGAAUUCUAGACACAGUGCUUUGAAGUAAUUAGCCAAUUCAGUAAUCUACAGAAGCAGAAAAUAGAUGAGUACCUAAGGGUGAGUGGCCAACAUUUGAGAUACUAAGCAUUUCUCUUUUGAAAUGCACAAUCUAUAUUUAAUAUGGGAAAUAAAUUAAAAUUAAUCACUGCCAAUACAACUGUUAGGGAAGACAAGAACUCAUUAAAAGGUAGAGAAUUGUAUCCUUGUAUAAAACCUUCAUGGUUAGUAUAAUUCCUAUAGAUAACCAUAAAGACAUACCGAUGGGAGUAACCAUUUUAAAUAAUUCUUGUUAAACACUUCAAAUAUUAACCAAUAAACACAAAAUUACUAUAGCAUGCCUGAUCGUUCUUACUCUUUUUGAAAUGUGCAAAGAGAGAAAACAGGGUUUUCUCUGUGCUCAUGAUUAUUGACAUUCUUUUUGGAGUACACAAGAAGAGAACACGAAUAUGAAGAGGCAAGAGGGUUUAAGAAAUAACCUAGUGCAAAAAUGAUUUAAACGUAAGUAAAGGAAAAUUAGUCUGUUGGAUCAUGGGUAGUAAAGUUUCAUCAUAUAAAGAAGACUCAGAGAGAGACUAGUGUCAUGGCAACAAAGCAAAGCAUUUCAUAAGAGAAUUUUAUUAUCAAAAUUCUAAGUGAUCGAAGCAAAGAAUGAAAUGUGAUCUUUGGAUAUAAAGUUUGGAGAUUAGCUGGGUUGUACAUAUAGCACUGAGAGCAGAAAAGAAUUGGAAUUUAAGAGAGUCACAUUUUUUUUCUAUAUGUCAGGCAUGAUCAAAAGAAGUGGGGCAUUACCUAGAAAGGAUUAAGAGUAAACGAUAAUAUUUAUUCUUGAUGAUGUUGCUGUUGUUGCCUGGGUUGUUAAAUAUGAAAGACACUUUGGCAUAAGGCCUCUACAUUGUAAGUUCUUUAUGAAUGUUAUUGUAUUGAUGUUUACAACCUCACAGGCAGCUACAGGACAGGGCAUUUUGAAAUAUUGCAAUGGAGAAAUGAGAAAUGGUGAGAGGUGAAGCCAGCUGGACUUCCUGGGUCGAGUGGGGACUUGGAGAACUUUUCUGUCUAGCUAGAGGAUUGUAAAUGCAGCAGUCAGCACUCUGUAAAACACCAAUCAGUGCUCUGUGUCUAGCUAAAGGAUUGUAAAUGCAACAAUCAGCACUCUGUAAAAUGAACCAAUCAGCACUCUGUAAAAUGGACCAAUCAGCACUCUGUAAAAUGGACCAAUCAGCAGGAUGUGGGCAGGGCCAAAUAAGGGAAUAAAAGCUGGCCACCAGAGCCAGGAGCGCAACCCACUCCGGUCCCCUUCCACUCUGUGGAAGGUUUGUUCUUUCAGUCUUCACAGUACAUCUUGCUGCUGCUCCCUCUUUGGAUCUGUACUACCUUUAUGAGCUGUAACACUCACUGUGAAGGCAUGCGGCUUCACUCCUGAAGUCAGUCAGACCACGAACCCACCUGCGGGGGGAACAAACAACUUCAGACACGCCACCUUUAAGAGCUGUAACACUCACUGUGAAGGUCUGUGGUUUCAUUCCUGAAGUCAGCGAGACCAUGAACCCACCGGAAGGAAGGAACUCUGGACACAUCUGAACGUCUGAAGGAACAAACUCCAGACACACCAUCUCUAAGAACUGUAACACUCACCACGAGAAUCCACAGCUUCAUUCUUGACGUCAGCGAGACAAAGAACCCACCGGAAGGAACCAAUUCUGGGCACAAUGAGGUUCCUGACCAAGGGGAGUAAAGGAGAUGGAAUGAAGCUUGUGUGCUGUACUUCAAGUCAUGCAUCCAGUACCAUUUUCCUGCACAUAAAGCGCUGUCUAUUCAUUAAGAUUUCUAGUUGCAGAGCUGGAUCCAUCCAUAAAAAGAACCAUUUUUCUAAUUUAUAGAAAGAUGUCUCAUGGCCUAGAAACAGGCCUUGAGCAAGAGCAAGCCCUGCCUUUCUCAUAUAGAAUAUAUACUGUUUUCUUA